AGUGAAAUUGCUGGGUCGUAUGGUUGCUCUAUGUUUAACUUUUUGAAGAACCACCAGGCUGUUUUCCAAUGCAGCCACACCAUUUUAUGUUCCCAUCAGCAAU
rnacentral:pre_miRNA from 1 species